UGCAAGCAAACUGGAGAAGAGCCGAGGGAGUAGCAGGAUGAACGAAGGGAGCGAGAGAGGGCGAUAGACUGAUAACAGUCUAGACAGACAGCUUCACAGAGAGAGGGGUAAAAGGGGAAAUACACUUGGAAUACUGCUUCAGAUCUCCCUCUACUUAUUUGUCCAGUUCUCCUGUUGAUUUGGAGAUGUCAGUGAACCCCCCCAACAGCAACGAUGCCUGCCUGAGCAUCGUGCACAGCCUCAUGUGCCACCGACAGGGCGGUGAGAACGAGGGCUUUGCCAAGCGUGCCAUAGAGAGCCUGGUAAAGAAGCUGAAGGAGAAGAAGGAUGAGCUGGACUCACUCAUCACCGCCAUCACCACCAACGGAGUUCACCCCAGCAAGUGUGUCACCAUCCAGAGGACGCUUGAUGGACGUCUGCAGGUAGCUGGGAGGAAAGGGUUCCCCCAUGUGAUCUACGCUAGGCUCUGGCGCUGGCCAGACCUCCACAAGAAUGAACUGAAGCACGUCAAGUUCUGCCAGUUCGCAUUUGACCUCAAGUAUGACAAUGUGUGUGUCAACCCCUACCACUACGAGCGAGUGGUAUCGCCAGGCAUUGUUGGUCUCAGCAUUCAAAAUGCAGGUCCUCCAGGUCGGCUGAUCAAAGAGGAGUACAUCCAUGACUGUUUUGAGAUGGACCUCCCCUCCAGGAUGCCCCCCCAGCCCGAGCGCUACAACCAGCCCCUUCCCCCUCUGCAGAUGCCCCCCGAGCCACCCCGCGCCCCAUCCUCCGUCAACCUCUACCCCAGCAUGCCCCUCUCUCCGCCAGUGAGCAGUUCCAUGAUGGGGCCCAUGUCUGGGGGCCACGGCGAGGGCCUGCUCCAGAUCGCCUCUCCCCAGAGCCAGGGCAUGCCCCAGACGCCGCCACCCACCACCCCCACACACGGACCACCCCCCCAGCCCCCUACCCUCACAGCCAGAGUGACUACAGCAGCAGCUCCAAACACACACAGACACAGAGCUCUUAUCACACGACCUGGACAGGCACCAACACGGCCUCCUAUACCCCUGUAGGAGCCCAGCAGAAUGGGCGUGGCCACCAGCAACCACCACUGCACCACCCCAACCACUUCUGGUCUCAGCAACAUCACAGCGCACCCGCCUUUCCUCAGCCAGUCUCCAACCAUCCAGGUCCAGAGUUCUGGUGCUCUAUCUCCUACUUUGAGAUGGACAUCCAGGUUGGGGAGAUGUUCAAGGUCUUGGCUAACUGCCCCGUGGUGACAGUGGACGGAUACGUGGACCCCUCGGGGGGCGACCGCUUCUGUCUGGGCCAGCUCAGCAACGUGCACCGCACCGACGCUAGCGAGAGAGCCAGGUUGCACAUUGGGAAGGGGGUGCAGUUAGAGUGUCGUGGUGAGGGGGAUGUGUGGAUGCGUUGCCUUAGCGACCAUGCAGUGUUCGUACAGAGCUACUACCUGGACCGGGAGGCGGGGCGAGCCCCGGGAGACGCAGUUCACAAGAUCUACCCUGGGGCCUACAUGAAGGUGUUUGACCUGCGUCAGUGCCACAGGCAGAUGCAGCAGCAGGCAGCCACGGCCCAGGCUGCAGCAGCAGCACAGGCUGCAGCAGUGGCAGGCAACAUCCCAGGGCCUGGCAGUGUGGGGGGAAUCGCCCCGGCAGUCAGUCUGUCGGCGGCAGCCGGGAUAGGUGUGGACGACCUGCGGCGGCUGUGUAUCCUGCGGCUCAGCUUUGUGAAGGGCUGGGGGCCCGACUACCCCCGGCAGAGCAUCAAGCACACCCCCUGCUGGGUGGAGGUCCACCUGCACCGUGCCCUGCAGCUGCUGGAUGAGGUGCUGCACACCAUGCCUCUGGCUGACCUAGGAGGACACGGACAUGUCAACUAAGCAGUGUGUGUGUGUGGGUGUGUGUGAGAGAGAGGUGGCGGUGUCUCAGUUGCUUGGUUUGGAUGAUAACUGCCCUUCAUGAACACUACAGUACGUUUUGGAUUGGAUACCUUUUUCCCCACCACCUGAAACAAAGACUGUAGGCUUUAAUAGAAACUUCUAUCGAACUUCUAUCGAAAAGGUAUUUUCAUGCUUUUAUAUAUUUUCCUUGAAUUGUCUGAUUUUCCUGAAGCAGUUUAGACUGCAAAAUGUACUUGCUCAACAGACAAUCUUUUCACAGAGACUGGAACUUGCACUAAAGGCAUCAAUGUUUUCUAGUAGUGGUAGAGACUGUAAGGGAUGGACUGUGUCACAACAAUGGAAACUGGCCUCGUACCUCCAAUGACCUGGUAACCUGCCUGGAUAAAACACUUUGGGAAUUGUUCAGAAAGUCAGAAUGAUAGCACAUGUGCUGCAGUGGAUUCUCACUUAAGCAGUGUUGGAAUUAUGCCUUGAUUACAGGGCAGCAGACUCAGACAGGUAUAUUGCAUUUGGAGAAUGCUGCUGUCUUUUAACUGCCUUCAGUAGGGUCUGUUUGUUCUUCAGGGAGAAAUUGAAAUAUUAGUCACCACAAUCUCCAUCAACCUUUUCUCUUAUCAGUCUUUUUCAUCAACCUGCAUCAUGUGACUCAGUUAUAUUUAUACUGGACAAAAAUAUAAAUGCAACAUGUAAAGUGUUGGUCUCGUGUUUCAUGAGCUGAAUUAAAAGAUCCCAGAAAUGUUCCAUAAGCACAAAAAGUUUAUUUUUCUCAAAUGUUGUGUACACAUUUGUUUACAUUCUUGUUAAUGGGCAUUUUAGCCUUUGUCAAGAUAAUCCAACCACCUAAGGUGUGGCAUAUCAAGAAGCUGAUUGAACAGCAUAAUCAUUACACAGGUGCACCUUGUGCUGGGGACAAUGACAGGACACUCUAAAAAGUGCCGUUUUGCCACACAACACAAUGCCACAGAUGUCUCAGGUUUUGAGGGAGCAUACAAAUGUCAUGAUAACUGCAGGAAUGUCCACCAAAGUUGUUGCCAGAGAAUUCAAUGUUAAUUUCUCUACCAUAAACUUAAAUUUGGCAGUACAUCCAACCAGCCUCACAACCGCAGACCACAUGUAACCAUGCCAGCCCAGGACCUCCACAUCUGGCUUCUUCACCUGUGGGAUAUUCUGGGCUG